AGCAGUCGCCGCGGUAAUACAGAGGGUGCAAGCGUUAAUCGGAAUUACUGGGCGUAAAGCGUGCGUAGGCGGCUUCUUAAGUCGGAUGUGAAAUCCCUGAGCUUAACUUAGGAAUUGCAUUCGAUACUGGGAAGCUAGAGUAUGGGAGAGGAUGGUAGAAUUCCAGGUGUAGCGGUGAAAUGCGUAGAGAUCUGGAGGAAUACCGAUGGCGAAGGCAGCCAUCUGGCCUAAUACUGACGCUGAGGUACGAAAGCAUGGGGAGCAAACAGGAUUAGAUACCCCUGUAGUCCCUGUCUCUUAUAC
rnacentral:rRNA from 1 species